CGCAUUGGUUCGAUCCGGAGAGGGAGCUGAGAAAUGCUACACAUCCAGAAGCAGCAGCGCGUAAAUGCCCGAUCUGACACAGGGAGGUAGUGACAGAAAUAACAAUACAGGGCUCUUUCGAGUCUGUAAUUGGAAUGAGUACAAUUUACUUCUCUUCACGAGGAUCAAUUGGAGGGCAAGUCUGGUGCCAGCAGCCGCGGUAAUUCCAGCUCCAAUAGCGUAUAUUAAAGUUGUUGCAGUUAAAACGCUCGUAGUCGGAUUUCGGGGCAGGUUUGCCGGUCUGCCGAUGGGUAUGCACUGGUAGAACUGUCCUUCCUUCCGGAGACGGCGCCUACUCUUAACUGAGCGGGUGUCGGAGACGGAUCGUUUACUUUGAAAAAAUCAGAGCGUUUCAAGCAGGCAGCUCGCUUUUGCAUGGAUUAGCAUGGGAUAAUGAAAUAGGACUUUGGUGCUAUUUUGUUGGUUUCGAACACCGAAGUAAUGAUUAACAGGGACAGUCAGGGGCACUCGUAUUCCGCCGAGAGAGGUGAAAUUCUUAGACCAGCGGAAGACGAACCACUGCGAAAGCAUUUGCCAGGGAUGUUUUCACUGAUCAAGAACGAAAGUUAGGGGAUCGAAGACGAUCAGAUACCGUCGUAGUCUUAACCAUAAACCAUGCCGACUAGGGAUUGGAGGAUGUUCCUAUGUGACUCCUUCAGCACCUUUCGGGAAACUAAAGUCUUUGGGUUCCGGGGGGAGUAUGGUCGCAAGGCUGAAACUUAAAGGAAUUGACGGAAGGGCACCACCAGGAGUGGAGCCUGCGGCUUAAUUUGACUCAACACGCA
rnacentral:rRNA from 1 species